rnacentral:lncRNA from 1 species
GGAUAUUUUGCUUUCAAAACCAAGAUACACUUAUCCUUCAGUUUUGAGUUUGAUUUUCAAGGAGGGUUGUGCAUUCCAGCAUUACAUCUCCUUCAUUUCAAACAACUGCGGGAAUAUACUCCCACUCUAAAAUGCUUCACAAAGCUGUUAUGCCUACAAUAUACAAAGUUUUAUAUUCUCAAACAAAUGGUAUUAUCUUUAUUUGCUAGAUUUUCUUAGUCAUUUCAGGGGGCUUUAACAGUUGCUGCUAGUAUUUUGAUAGUGUUCCACCAGUAUUUAGUUUUUACAUCAUUCUAGUGUAUAGUUUCAGGUCUCAUUAGACAAUCCUAAUUCCACUACAUUUCUGUUUGACUCCAACAUUCCACUUAGCUUGACUAGCCUAAUUUUAACAUGCUUGUUGGAGGUCACCAAUAUUACUUGUAUGAUGCUGUCACCAUGUGACAUCCAUAAAGAUUUUGGUGUAUACCACAUUGCAUUCAACCAGCUGUGAUUAUGCUUAGAAAUACUAUAGUAACUAGAUGCAGUGUGAACCUUUUCCAUUAACAGUAAGUCAGUGGCUUCAAUGUGAUUAUGGUCCUGCAAGGUGAUACUUGCUAAAAUAUCUAAACAUUUUUGUUGUUGUGACUGAAUCAUUUUUUUUUAAAUUUAUAAAGCUGGAAGUGAUGAAAUGCUGUUUUUUCAUUGUCAACAGUGGUGUGUCAUUUUAUAUAUGUUCCUAAUGCUUACGGAACUCUCCCAAAAUAAAGUUAUUCAGAAAGUG